rfam:Felis catus isolate Cinnamon breed Abyssinian chromosome F2, whole genome shotgun sequence.
GCCUGGCUGGCUCAGCCGGUAGAGCAUGUGACUCUCCAUCACGGGGACGUGAGUUUGAGACCCACGUUGGGUG